UACGUAGGGUGCAAGCGUUAUCCGGAAUUACUGGGCGUAAAGAGCGCGCAGGCGGUCGUUCAAGUCGCGUGUGAAAGCCCCCGGCUCAACUGGGGAGGGUCACGCGAUACUGAUCGACUCGAAGGCAGGAGAGGGUAGUGGAAUUCCCGGUGUAGUGGUGAAAUGCGUAGAUAUCGGGAGGAACACCAGUGGCGAAGGCGACUACCUGGCCUGUUUCUUGACGCUGAGGCGCGAAAGCUAGGGGAGCAAACGGG
rnacentral:rRNA from 1 species